rnacentral:piRNA from 1 species
UCCCAAAUGCCACACCAAAGUCUUGGC